CAGCCACAACUACCCUGCCAC
rnacentral:miRNA from 1 species